CGUGUAGGCGGUCUGUUAAGUCAUGUGUGAAAUCCCUCGGCUCAACCGGGGAACGACGCAUGAAACUGACAAGCUAGAGUACCAAAGAGGGGGGUGGAAUUCCCGGUGUAGCGGUGAAACGCGUAGAUAUCGGGAGGAACACCGGUGGCGAAGGCGGCCCCCUGGUUGGAUACUGACGCUGAGACGCGAAAGCGUGGGGAGCAAACAGGAUUAGAUACCCUGGUAGUCCACGCUGUAAACGAUGGGCACUAGGUGUCCGGGGUAUUGACCCCCUGGGUGCCGCAGCUAACGCAUUAAGUGCCCCGCCUGGGGAGUACGGUCGCAAGAUUAAA
rnacentral:rRNA from 1 species